rnacentral:rRNA from 1 species
ACGAAAGUCUGACGGAGCAACGCCGCGUGAACGAUGAAGGCUUUCGGGUCGUAAAGUUCUGUUGUCAGGGAAGAACAAGUACCGGAGUAACUGCCGGUACCUUGACGGUACCUGACCAGAAAGCCACGGCUAACUACGUGCCAGCAGCCGCGGUAAUACGUAGGUGGCAAGCGUUGUCCGGAAUUAUUGGGCGUAAAGCGCGCGCAGGCGGUUCCUUAAGUCUGAUGUGAAAGCCCCCGGCUCAACCGGGGAGGGUCAUUGGAAACUGGGGAACUUGAGUGCAGAAGAGGAGAGCGGAAUUCCACGUGUAGCGGUGAAAUGCGUAGAGAUGUGGAGGAACACCAGUGGCGAAGGCGGCUCUCUGGUCUGUAACUGACGCUGAGGCGCGAAAGCGUGGGGAGCGAACAGGAUUAGAUACCCUGGUAGUCCACGCCGUAAACGAUGAGUGCUAAGUGUUAGAGGGUUUCCGCCCUUUAGUGCUGCAGCAAACGCAUUAAGCACUCCGCCUGGGGAGUACGGCCGCAAGGCUGAAACUCAAAGGAAUUGACGGGGGCCCGCACAAGCGGUGGAGCAUGUGGUUUAAUUCGAAGCAACGCGAAGAACCUUACCAGGUCUUGACAUCCUCUGACAACCCUAGAGAUAGGGCGUUCCCCUUCGGGGGACAGAGUGACAGGUGGUGCAUGGUUGUCGUCAGCUCGUGUCGUGAGAUGUUGGGUUAAGUCCCGCAACGAGCGCAACCCUUGAUCUUAGUUGCCAGCAUUAAGUUGGGCACUCUAAGGUGACUGCCGGUGACAAACCGGAGGAAGGUGGGGAUGACGUCAAAUCAUCAUGCCCCUUAUGACCUGGGCUACACACGUGCUACAAUGGAUGGAACAAAGGGCAGCGAAGCCGCGAGGUGAAGCCAAUCCCAUAAAACCAUUCUCAGUUCGGAUUGCAGGCUGCAACUCGCCUGCAUGAAGCCGGAAUCGCUAGUAAUCGCGGAUCAGCAUGCG